rnacentral:rRNA from 1 species
GAUGAACGCUGGCGGCGUGCCUAAUACAUGCAAGUCGAGCGAACAGACGAGAGUGCUUGCACUCUCUGACGUUAGCGGCGGACGGGUGAGUAACACGUGGGUAACCUACCUAUAAGACUGGGAUAACUUCGGGAAACCGGAGCUAAUACCGGAUAAUAUUUAGCUUCGCAUGAAGCAAUAGUGAAAGACGGUUCUGCUGUCACUUAUAGAUGGACCCGCGGUUUAUUAGCUAGUUGGUGAGGUAACGGCUCACCAAGGCAACGAUACAUAGCCGACCUGAGAGGGUGAUCGGCCACACUGGGACUGAGACACGGCCCAGACUCCUACGGGAGGCAGCAGUAGGGAAUCUUCCGCAAUGGACGAAAGUCUGACGGAGCAAUGCCGCGUGAGUGAAGAAGGUUUUCGGAUCGUAAAACUCUGUUGUAAGGGAAGAACAAGUACGUUAGUAACUGAACGUACCUUGACGGUACCUUACCAGAAAGCCACGGCUAACUACGUG